GAUGAACGCUAGCGCCAGGCCUAACACAUGCAAGUCGAACGGUAACAGAGAGAGCUUGCUCUUUGCUGACGAGUGGCGAACGGGUGAGUAACGCGUAUGCAACCUACCUUUAACUGGGAGAUAGCCCCGAGAAAUCGGGAUUAAUGCCCCAUAACAUUACGAAAACUCAUGUUUUUGUAAUUAAAGCUUCGGCGGUUAAAGAUGGGCAUGCGGGACAUUAGCUAGUUGGUGAGGUAAUAGCUCACCAAGGCUACGAUGUCUAGGGGGCCUGAGAGGGUUAUCCCCCACACUGGUACUGAGACACGGACCAGACUCCUACGGGAGGCAGCAGUGAGGAAUAUUGCGCAAUGGACGAAAGUCUGACGCAGCCAUGCCGCGUGCAGGAUGACGGCCCUACGGGUUGUAAACUGCUUUUAUAUAGGAAGAAACCCCUUUACGUGUAAAGGGCUGACGGUACUAUACGAAUAAGCACCGGCUAACUCCGUG
rnacentral:rRNA from 1 species